GUGGGAUAGAUGAUUAGGGUGAAGUCGUAACAAGGUAGCCGUAGGAGAACCUGCGGCUGGAUCACCUCCUUUCUAAGGAA
rnacentral:rRNA from 1 species